AAACAAUCUUCAAGUGAAGCUACUAAAUGUAAAAUUGCAUAAGGGUCUGUUAAUAACCCUAGGAUAGAGCUGGCCGCAGAAGGAAAAAUCAUAGCACAGAAGGAAAAAUCAUAGUAGAUGAAUACUGCAACAGCUGUCAAUUCCAACUUAUCAGGGCGCCACAACUUGAAGCUUUUCUCCUUGCCUUGAAAUCAUGAAUACUCCACCAAGACUUUGGCAAUCACACUUCUGUUGGCAAGAAGAAAAUCUGUUUCAAUCUUUAAAUAUGUCCUACUAUUUGGGAGGCCAGUUGUCAACUUCCUUCAAAUCCAGCCUAAUCACUCUUCACUCCAGUGGCAUAAGAAUAUCUUAUUCGGUCCUUAGCAAACACCCAGUCAGGUUCAUGUGAAGAAUACUUCUAUUCUGCCAUCUUAAAUCAACCUGCUACCUCAACUUCUUCUAGCAAGAGCAUAUCUCUUUUCUUUGAGCACAUACUCUUUUCCCAUCACCCAUUACAUUUGAUCUCAUAGGGCUGCCUGUUUCUGCAUCUUGGCCCCAUGGCUUCAAUAAG
rnacentral:lncRNA from 1 species